GUCUACUAGUUGUUGGUGGAGUAAAAUCCAUGAGUAACGCAGCUAACGCGUGAAGUAGACGCCUGGGGAGUACGAUCGCAAGAUUAAAACUCAAAUGAAUUGACGGGGGCCCGCACAAGCGGUGGAUUAUGUGGAUUAAUUCGAUGCAACGCGAAAAACCUUACCUGGCCUUGACAUGUACCGAAUUUACCAGAGAUGGUUUAGUGCUCGAAAGAGAACGGUAACACAGGUGCUGCAUGGCUGUCGUCAG
rnacentral:rRNA from 1 species